CUGCAGAGUGCAGCUACGCUGAACUGAAGUGCUUGUGUUUUGUAUUUGCAGGAGGCCUUGUAGUGUAUGAGACAUCUAGCAAAAUAUUAACAUCCAGUCCCGCAUUACCAUGGUGAAAAUGAAUAAAAAACGUGGGCAGGCAGUGUUGCUGACCCCAGGCUGAGGCACUGAUGACUGCUGACUCUAAACUGGGGUUUUUCAUCCUCACCUCUCUUCUCUAUUUUUUUUCCUCCUCCUUCUUGCAACAAGAUUUCAGGAAGUUUCUCAGUAAACCACUCAACUUUACAGACUGACAUUCAAGUUCAUCUGUAUGCUAUAUAUAAUUACAAAAUCUCCAUUGUUUAUUUAAUAAUGUACCUUUUUUAAAACCUACUGUUAUCUUGAGAUUUUGAUGUAAAUAGAUUUUGAUAGCUUAAGAAUUUAAAAAUGCUACUUUCUCAUUUUCCCCAUUUCUGCAUAUUUAGUCAUAUUUCAUGCCCAAAUAAGCAGAAGUGUUUGCUGCCUCUCUGCAAACACUUCUGCAUAUUUAAGCUUCUUAUGUAUCCAUUUAUAUUCUGCACCAUCUCUGCUGUUCUUAGUAUUGCUCUGAAACCUUAUUUUAAAAUCGUUAUAACAAUGCACUGCUCUGCACUUGUAUUUGUGAAAAUUAUUUUUAACCAUUUAAAAAAAGAUCAGUGCAGCAGUUUGUUGUUUGUGUGCCUCUACAAAGCUGGACCCAGAGGAUUGUGAUCACCAACAUUAUAUAUGUCAUUAAAAAAAUCUCUUCAG